rnacentral:lncRNA from 1 species
UAUUUCCCUACAGCUCCACAUCACUUUGUAACAGAUCCCCACAGCGCUGUGCUGCAGACCCCCGCAGCUCCGCUCCCCUCUCUGGACACGCUGCAGGGCCUCAGUGUCUCUCUGGCAGCGAGGGGCCAACGCUGAGCGCAGCACUGAGCUGCGGCCCCAGCAGUGCCAAGUAGAGGGACGGGCACCUCCCGCUCUGCUGCCCACACUGCCCUCUGCUGCGAGCCGGGACAACGGUGGCCUUCUUGGCUACCCAGGCACAAUGCUGGCUCGUGUUCAGCUGCCUUUCUGACCCAUUGUGGCUCAGCCCCAUGCCGUGGCUGUCCCACUCAUGCCAUGUGUUUACUCUCAAGGUAAUUUUCUCCAUAACGUUUCCGGGCACUGGGUGCAGUUUACUGCCUGUAGGUUGGAAGGAUGCAAAGGUCACCACGUCCCAACCCCCUCCACAGCCAGCUGUUUCAUCUCAUAAUGGAUCGCAGUGCUCAGGGCCCCAUCCUGCCUGGCCUGGACACAGCCAGGGGCGGAACAUCCACAGCCUAUAAGGGCAGCUGUGCCAGCGUGUCACCUCUCCCUCAGGAAAUAGCUUCCCUGAUAUCAAACCUAGAUUUGCUCUCCUCUAGUUUAUGACCAAUGCCCAAGGUCCUAUCGCGAUAUUCACACGAACGAUGUUGAUUCCCCUCAUGUGAACGCGCUCUUUGCUGGCCCUCCCUGCGGCGCCCACCCGCAGCUCACUCCGGGCUGCUGCCUUUCCGACGCUCUCGCUGCCAUCCCAGCCCUGUCCUCGCGCUGUCCCCGCGCUGCCCGCCCCUUCUCCCGCACUCGGACACUCCUUCUCUCCCGCACUCUCGCUGCAGCUCCCCGCUCCCUCCCGCCGCUCUCUUCCCUGCCGUGGGCUCGGGCUCUUCCCCGCUCGGCCCUUUCCCGCUGCCUCCCGGCAUUGCUGGGUUGCGUUCAGACUUCUUCAUCUCCUGAGGAGUUCACUGCUUGCAUGGGUGUUGGGUUUAUCAUCACCUCUCGCUGCGGGGAAGCGCUCAGUCGCUCUCUUCCUCCCAUAGCGGCGCGGAGGUGCGGGGCUGCGCCCGCCGUGUGCGGGCACAGGGGCAGACAAGGGUCGGGCUGAGGGCACAGCGGUGCCGGCGGAGCGCUCUUCUUCGCGAACACCUCGCGGGGAUCGACGGUGAAAACGCUGCUGCUUUGGGAGAGCAGAAACCGAGGCUUCAGCCGCUGUGGCAAAACAGUCCGAUCUUCCUGUUAGUCCCAACUCCACACUCAGCGAAUUCAGGAAACGCCCUGAUGUCGUCGACACUUUUUGCCAGAAGCGGGGAUUGCCGGCAUCCACCGCCCCGUGUAUAAAGCAGCCCAGUACCGCGGUGCGCACCGUCGCAGCUGCCGGGCCGAGGCGG